rnacentral:rRNA from 1 species
GACGAACGCUGGCGGCGUGCCUAAUACAUGCGAGUCGAACGCUGAAGAGAGGAGCUUGCUCUUCUUGGAUGAGUUGCGAACGGGUGAGUAACGCGUAGGUAACCUGCCUGGUAGCGGGGGAUAACUAUUGGAAACGAUAGCUAAUACCGCAUAAAAUGGAUUAUCGCAUGAUAAUCCAUUGAAAGGUGCAAAUGCAUCACUACCAGAUGGACCUGCGUUGUAUUAGCUAGUUGGUGGGGUAACGGCUCACCAAGGCGACGAUACAUAGCCGACCUGAGAGGGUGAUCGGCCACACUGGGACUGAGACACGGCCCAGACUCCUACGGGAGGCAGCAGUAGGGAAUCUUCGGCAAUGGACGGAAGUCUGACCGAGCAACGCCGCGUGAGUGAAGAAGGGUUUCGGAUCGUAAAGCUCUGUUGUAAGAGAAGAACGAGUGUGAGAGUGGAAAGUUCACACUGUGACGGUAGCUUACCAGAAAGGGACGGCUAACUACGUG